rnacentral:rRNA from 1 species
UACGUAGGGCGCAAGCGUUGUCCGGAAUUAUUGGGCGUAAAGAGCUCGUAGGCGGUUUGUCGCGUCUGCUGUGAAAACUCGAGGCUCAACCUCGGGCUUGCAGUGGGUACGGGCAGACUAGAGUGCGGUAGGGGUGACUGGAAUUCCUGGUGUAGCGGUGGAAUGCGUAGAGAUCCGGAGGAACACCAGGGGCGAAAGCGGCCGACUGGCCGAGUGCUGACGGCUGAGGCGCGACGGCGUGGGGAGCAAACCGG